AGUAACACGUGGGUAAUCAACCCCUGACAUCGGGAUACCCCGGGGAAACCCGGAUCAAUACCGGAUAAGGUGCGGAGUCGCAGGACGCCGUACCAAAGGUAGCUUCGGCUUCCGGUCAGGGACGAGCCCGCGGCCCAUUAGCUUGUUGGUGAGGUAAUGGCUCACCAAGGCUACGAUGGGUAGCUGGUCUGAGAGGACGAUCAGCCACACUGGGACUGAGACACGGCCCAGACUCC
rnacentral:rRNA from 1 species